UACGUAGGGGGCAAGCGUUGUCCGGAAUCAUUGGGCGUAAAGCGCGUGUAGGCGGUCCGGUAAGUCCGCUGUGAAAGUCGGGGGCUUAACCCUCGGAUGCCGGUGGAUACUGUCGGGCUUGAGUACGGAAGAGGCGAGUGGAAUUCCUGGUGUAGCGGUGAAAUGCGCAGAUAUCAGGAGGAACACCAAUGGCGAAGGCAGCUCGCUGGGACGGUACUGACGCUGAGACGCGAAAGCCAGGGGAGCAAACGGG
rnacentral:rRNA from 1 species